rnacentral:rRNA from 1 species
AUUGAACGCUGGCGGCAGGCCUAACACAUGCAAGUCGAGCGGCUGAAGGGAGCUUGCUACUGGAUUCAGCGUCGGACGGGUGAGUAAUGCCUAGGAAUCUGCCUGGUAGUGGGGGAUAAAGUCCGGCAACGGGCGCUAAUACCGCAUACGUCCUGAGGGAGAAAGAGGGGGGUCUUCGGACCUCACGCUAUCAGAUGAGCCUAGGUCGGAUUAGCUAGUUGGUGGGGUAAAGGCCUACCAAGGCGACGAUCCGUAACUGGUCUGAGAGGAUGAUCAGUCACACUGGAACUGAGACACGGUCCAGACUCCUACGGGAGGCAGCAGUGGGGAAUAUUGGACAAUGGGCGAAAGCCUGAUCCAGCAAUGCCGCGUGUGUGAAGAAGGUCUUCGGAUUGUAAAGCACUUUAAGUUGGGAGGAAGGGCAGUAAGCUAAUACGGUGCUGGGUUGACGGUACCAACAGAAUAAGCACCGGCUAACUUCGUG